UACGGCGAGUGAGCGGCAAAGCUCAAUUUGAAUCUGGUACCUUUGGGAAAAGAUAAAUUUGGAAGUCACUUUGGGACGCACUCUUUAAAAGAACCUUGGAACAUGACGUCAUGGAGGGUGAGAAUCACGUGUGGCGAGGGUGUCAGUUAUUUGAAA
rnacentral:rRNA from 1 species